rnacentral:rRNA from 1 species
GAUGAACGCUGGCGGCGUGCCUAACACAUGCAAGUCGAGCGAUUCUCUUCGGAGAAGAGCGGCGGACGGGUGAGUAACGCGUGGGUGACCUGCCCUGUACACACCGAUAACAUACCGAAAGGUAUGCUAAUACGGGAUAAUAUGCUUUAGUCGCAUGGCUGAAGUAUCAAAGCUCCGGCGGUACAGGAAGGACCCGCGUCUGAUAAGCUAGUUGGUAAGGUGAUGGCUUACCAAGGCGACGUUCAGUACCCGACCUGAGAGGGUGAGCCGCCACAUGGGAACUGAGCCACGGUCCAAACUCCUACGGGAGGCAGGAGUGGGGAAUAUUGCACAAUGGGCGAAAGCCUGAUGCAGCAACGCCGCGUGAGCGAUGAAGGCCUUCGGGUCGUAAAGCUCUGUCCUCAAGGAAGAUAAUGACGGUACUUGAGGAGGAAGCCCCGGCUAACUACGUGCCAGCCGCCGCAGUAA